UGGGGAAUUUUGGACAAUGGGCGCAAGCCUGAUCCAGCCAUGCCGCGUGAGUGAAGAAGGCCUUCGGGUUGUAAAGCUCUUUCGGCGGGGACGAAACGGUUCGUGACAACACCACGGACUAAUGACGGUACCCGCAUAAGAAGCACCGGCUAACUACGUGCCAGCAGCCGCGGUAAUACGUAGGGUGCAGGCGUUAAUCGGAAUUACUGGGCGUAAAGCGUGCGCAGGCGGUUUGUUAAGACAGGUGUGAAAUCCCCGGGCUUAACCUGGGAAUUGCGCUUGUAACUGGCAGGCUAGAGUGUGGCAGAGGGGGGUGGAAUUCCACGUGUAGCAGUGAAAUGCGUAGAUAUGUGGAGGAACACCGAUGGCGAAGGCAGCCCCCUGGGUUAACACUGACGCUCAUGCACGAAAGCGUGGGAGCAAACAGGAUUAGAUACCCGCGUAGUCCCUGAGCGGGCUGGCAAGGCGCAU
rnacentral:rRNA from 1 species